UGGGGAAUUUUGCACAAUGGGGGAAACCCUGAUGCAGCGACGCCGCGUGAUUUAGAAGGCCUUCGGGUUGUAAAAAUCUUUUCUAUGGGAAGAAAAUGACAGUACCAUAGGAAUAAGGACCGGCUAAUUACGUGCCAGCAGCCGCGGUAAUCCGUAAGGUCCGAGCGUUGUCCGGAAUCAUUGGGCGUAAAGGGUACGUAGGCGGGUAAGCAAGUUAGAAGUGAAAUCCUAUAGCUCAACUAUAGUAAGCUUUUAAAACUGCUCAUCUUGAGGUAUGGAAGGGAAAGUGGAAUUCCUAGUGUAGCGGUGAAAUGCGCAGAUAUUAGGAGGAAUACCGGUGGCGAAGGCGACUUUCUGGCCAUAACCUGACGCUGAGGUACGAAAGCGUGGGUAGCAAACAGG
rnacentral:rRNA from 1 species